CAAUGAACACAUAUUACUGCAAAGACAUGUAAACAGGAUGUAUAUAAAGAUAUAAAUCGUGUAUCGCACAGCUUUUAUAAUUAGCCCAUUCAACUUGGCUCGGUUAUUACAUCUAGUUGUGUUAAGGUUACAACGAGAUUAUUCUAAAAAAAACUGCUCCAACAUAGAUGAAUUCGGCAAACCACUGACAACGACGUGCCAGUUUGUUUGCUACUAUAGCCUCCACCCGCCAGUGUGUCGCGGAUCCAAGUUGGCUAUGAAUCUAGCUUGGAUUGCCAUUAUUGCUGUGUUCUGCUUAAUAUUUGUUGUUGCCGUCGUAGCCGUGAUAAUCUACUGCUGCGCUGUACGACGUCGUCAUAGUUACCUUCUCAUCAAAACAGCGUAAACAGCUGUGACUGGUCAUAAGCAAUUUGGUUCAUAGCAGAUAAUGCCCACCCCUACGGAUCGACUGGGCAUACCAAUGUCGUGAUAACAGUGACCCCGGCCUCACCUCGCGAGACUGAUAUGUGUAACCAUCAGUCAGUCGGGUGUGUUGUCAUCGACGAAGAGCCGUCUUCCCCUGACUACAACCAUCCAUAUCCGGUUGGACAGGUCGGACCGGAUGCUCAAUCGUUCUACCCUGCUGUACAGGUUGAUCCGUACCAGAACCAAGAUCUCCACACGUACAAUCCAGACUCGGAACCCUACACACCUCAAUCGGAUGCGGCUCCAUACACGCCGGUAGAGUUUGAGCCAUAUUCUGCUAACACGGAGCCGUACGAUGACACGGCGCCAUACAGUGGCCAUCACAACAACGCAGGUUUUAUUUAACCGUUUGAGGGAGACACUUCUCCAUAAGGCCAUGAUUCGGAACCGAUCGUUGUUCAACCAGCUAGUUACGCAAAGAUAGUGGACCAUAUACCGGUGCACCGGCUGGGUAUGCGGGAUUUGACGAGAGUCCUUAUUAAAUAUGACCUACUGAACAAUACGUUGUGCUAUAUGCAGUUAUAGCUGUAGCAUGCAAAUUAAUGAGUUUGAAAAAUUACUAAAAGUUCAUUUUUGACGAUGCUGCGAAGCAGCUCGUCUAAGUUAUCAUACCAUGAACAAAUAAAUUCUUCACAAUGGCGACCUAUGUAAAAGACCGAGCCAGUCCGAUUGAGAUAGCUCGAUUUUUCUAAUCGGCAUACCUCGCUGAGUAUCAUUGAUAAAGGUAAAGAAAGCUCAGCUAUAAAUAGGACAGCAUAUUCUGGGAAAAAUAUUUAAUAAUAGUUUGAAAACGUUAAUUUUAAAUCAGUUAGAUCAAUGAAACAACUAUGCAUAUUCUAUUUGACAUUUAUCGUGUUUCUCUAAAUAAAUUGCGAAUGAAAACGGGUAUAAUUAACGUUUAACGCGAUCAUGAGUGUAAAGAAAACUAAUUGUUUCGAACCUGCCAUUUGUAAACGUUAUAGCGAGUAUGGUAUAUAAACAGCAUAAUAGCCGUACGAUGUCUAUGAAACUCGCUCUUAUGCGUGCAUUCUCAUUUUGCAUAUUUAAUAAACUUUUCAAACAGAAAUGUCAGAGCCACAUCAAUGCACAUACUAUGUUUGAUAAUUCAUUCGUUUGUUGGAUAUUGUUUGCUGUUUUAAACACAUAUUAGGUCAUAACGCGGAGAUUUAGUUAAUCUUACCAUGUGUUCAUGGGCGAACUCACGUAUUCAAGUGCUCUUACGACUAUGUGCUCAUACCUACUUUCGGGAAUCAUCAUGAAAUUAUUGCCGUACUUAACGAACAAACAUGCCUAAGCUUAUUGAAUAAGAGAAAAAAACAAUAAUCAAAAGAGAAAAAUUAUAUCUUCAUGCACAUGGGCAUGUGAAAUCACGUCCGUACACAUAACAUCAUUAACUUAGGAAAGGAAACAACGAAAUAUAAAGUUUGGUAUGAUAUACAUGUGAAAGUAAAGAUAAAUGUCCAGUUUUUAAUAUAUCUGCCGAAACGUAAUGUUAUAACCCACAAACGUUUUACUGUAACAGAACGUUUUUUUUAAAGAUAAGUGGUACAUAAAAUACACGUCGAAUAUAUGUUUAAAGAUA